UUGGUGGGUGAAUUCAGAUGGAGCCCUUGUAAAGAUGAUACCCCAAAUUAUUAUUUUCGGAUAUAAAGACAAUACUGUAGUCACCAAAAAAUGGAUUGCAACUUGCAAAACAUGCGGGAAGAAAAUUAUAGACGGAAGCGCAACAACUUCCAACUUUGUUUGACAUUUGAAGCUGCACAAAGAACGAUUUGAACAAUUCCAGAAGAACAAAAGUGUCAGAAGUGAACCACAAAAGUCUCCAAUCUCACAGUUCAUGGAGACCCGUGUAGGGCAGUACAGCAUGAAUCAUCCACAGCAGAAAGCUAUCAACAAAGCAAUACUGUCCAACCUGGUUAUCGAUUGCAACUUGCCGAAAAAAGUUUUCGUCACUUUCUGUCAAUGGUUGACAGUAAGUACAGCCCAGUGUGUCGCAGAACAUUGACAUCAAAAGUAGAGAACCUCGCUACAGAGAGAUGUUAAAAACUGAAAACUCAUUUGAGCGACACAGACCAUGUUUCAGUCACAGUGGACAUUUGGUCCGACCAAAAGAUGAGGGGGUUUCUUGGUGUCACUGUGCACUGUAUGGAGAAAGAUGGAGAGAGGAUACAGCUCAAAGUCCAAUCUCUUGGCCUGUGACCGCUUCAAAGGCCCACACACGGCCGAAAGAAUCUGUGAGCAAUUUGAGGCCAUAUGUGAUGAGUACAGCAUUAAAGAUAAAUUGAACUAUAUCAUUAGUGACAAUGCUGCCAACAUGAGAAAAGCAUUCACGGUGUGCUUCUCCAUUGAACAGGAUGAUGGAGUACAUGAUGAAGAUCACAAUGAUGACCCAGAGCUCUGGAAUGACCUAACCCUGGAAGACCAGCAGACAGUGGAUGCUGCUAUUGCAAAAAAAACAGCGCUCGCAGUGUUUUGCCCACACUCUCCAGCUGGUUGUGGGAGAUGGCUUGAAAGAAACAAAAGUGAUGACUCCUUCUCUUUCAAAGUUAUCGAAAAUCAGCUCACUGCUGCAUACAAGCACAACAUUCAAAUUUGGGGAAAGAGGCAUGCCUACUGCUGUCAACACAAGAUGGAACUCAACACUGAGUAAAGUGAAGGCAGUAAUCCAAUGUGGCCAUCUAAAGCUCUGUCAUGUUCUAGAAAAGGCUGGGCACAAGGAGUUGUUGUUCACAGUACGGGAGUGGAAUAAGGAGUUGGUGGACAUCCUGAAGCCAUUUGGAGCAACAGAUAUGACACAGGGGGAGAAGAUAGUCACAAUCAGUUCUGUUGUUCCCUCUGUCCUGUCCCUAAAUCACCACCUGGAGCAGCAGAAGAAUCAAGUCCAUUUCCUGAGCGGCCUGGUCAGAAGUCUCCAUGCAUCCCUGAACAAAAUAUUUAUUGGAAUCUUCAUCAAUGUGAAAAUGGCCAAGACAAGAUGGAAUCACUGCCCCCUUUUCAGAUCCAGUCUACCUCAAAGCAGCUGCCUUUGAUCCGGCUUUUUCUCUGAUGUGGGUGGAGCAGGUGUGCUGGUCAAGGAGGAGGUGGCACAAAGAGUGAAAGAACUGAUUCUGCAAGAUGCUGCAGGGACUGAGCAAGCUGUGCCUCUUGUUGAUGAGGAAGAGCGAGAGGACCAUAGUCCUGGACAAGAAGAAGAGCUGUUUGCAGCAUACUGUCCCCAAAGCACACACAUCCCUGGGUCGCUCGUCUUUUCAG